UACGGGGGGAGCAAGCGUUGUUCGGAUUUACUGGGCGUAAAGGGCGCGUAGGCGGCCACCGCAAGUCAAUUGUGAAAUCUCCGGGCUUAACUCGGAAAGGUCAACUGAUACUGCGGGGCUAGAGUGCGGAAGGGGCAACUGGAAUUCUCGGUGUAGCGGUGAAAUGCGUAGAUAUCGAGAGGAACACCGGCGGCGAAGGCGGGUUGCUGGGCCGACACUGACGCUGAGGAGCGAAAGCGUGGGGAGCGAACAGG
rnacentral:rRNA from 1 species